GAGUGUGGAUAAUGCUCCAUUGAGAGACUGUCUUUGGUGGCUUAAACUCGGGAACCGGAAUUUAGAAUGCCCAGACACAACCAAUCCCAGCCUUUGGUGCGGUGACGUCUCUGGUAGCUAGGUGGAUUCGCUCAGAGCCAGCCCCGCCCGGCAGGUGGACCGCGCGCCCCCUAGAGCCUGGAGCGUCCCUCUCCCGGGCGGUCGGGCAGCGGACCAAGCUCAGGCCAACUGAACUCUGUUCUGUUCAGCCCACUGUCUGUGCUCCCUGGAAAGGAGAAUCUUGAAGCAGAACCCAUUCUCAAUCAAUACCAAGGAUGGGAUGCAGAGGACAGAGGGCUGAUGGGGAGUUGGACAAAGAGUGGCAGAGGAAAGCAGCGAGCCACCAAGUGGGGAGCAAGAAGAACUGCAAAAUUUCAUGGUCUUGCUAAUGGGGACUCCUACAGUUUGCAAGCUGCCUAUCUAUACUGUGUAUGGUACUGGGGAUUGGACUGGGGGAGCAGGGAGAGGCUUUACUGCUGAGCUACAUCCUAAGCCCUUUUUGAGACAGGGUAUCACUAAAUUGCCCAGGCUGUCCUUAAACUUACAAUCCCCUGCCUCAGCAGCUAAAGUAGCUGGGAUCACAGGUGUACCCUGGCUUGUUACACUUGUAGUUAAUGCACUUCCAUGCCAAUCUUAAGAACUGAUAGCUCACUCUGGGGCUCCAGUGGAAAGAGAACAGCUCAGGAAAUAAAAAUGUCUGCUGCUGCCCAGGCCUUGGUGCUGCAGAAAGAAAUGGAACCUCUAAAGGAAUUUCUGUCAAGCCUAACACACUACAGUCAUCUAAGGACUCCAGCCAGGAAGUGGCCUGAGGAGCCAGAGGGUCAAGAGAAAAGAUGGCAGUGCCACUCACCUAUAAGUACCUAAUAAACAGGGGAGCUGAAGCAGGACUCUAAAGAUCCAGUGGUAAAGCCCAACAACCCCAAGCAUUUAACUUGCCUUCUUGGCCUCUAGGUCACCAGCCUCUCAGGUGAGACCAAGCCCACCAGGGAAAAACCUCAUUUUCCUUAGAAUCCCAGUGCCUGGCAUCAUAGCUGGCACACAGCAGGUGCUCAAUAAAUAUCUGUCAAAUACAAUGACAUUGUGAGCAGGGCUGAUGGUGGUGAAGAACAAAGAGCUUAGGAGAAGCUCUCCCACAGGAGGCAGGGGACUCACCCUUCAGAAGAUUCUUUUAUUAAAACUGGGUGACAUCCAUAAGGGGACAGUACAAAAAAAAUUUUGGUCCAUGAAAAAAACAUAAUAAUUCAGUUAAUAAAAACAGUUAUCUUCAAUAGGGACACUGUGUAGGAGUGCUGAACUUCCUCCUCAUGGUUCCAGCCAGGAGCCAGGCCAGGGCUCAGCUGCCCCAGGGUUGUCCAGUGUCACUGUGGGGAGAACCUUUUGAAGGAGGGAUGGGAAUAUGGCAGGAAGGGGAAGAUGGGGAGAAAACUCUGCUGUCCUCAGUGUAGAACAGGCAGGGACAAGGGGCAAGGGGAUAUGCUCGCAGGAGCCUGAGGAGGGGUGGGGAAGCAGGGGCUUUGUCAGUUUUGUGGGUUCAGAGCCCAUUCUGGCAGAAUUCCCCUCUGUGCCCAGCUGUCUCCCACCCUGCUGUGUUGAGUCUGCGAGCCUGGGAUAUGCUAACUCGGGGGGUGAUACAACCUGGAAGAAGAAUCUGAGGCUCUCCUGGAAAGAUGCAAAACCAUCUCAGUUCCAAGGGGCCAAGAUCACAAGGUCCUGCUGCUACCUGAGGGGUCUGAAGCUUUGAGGGCAAGGGCUGGGGAGUCACAAUCCUGUGAGGCAGGGAGAGGGAAGAGUCACAAACCCAACUCAGAGCUGUUCUCCAGCCCUAGGUGCUUUCACUUCUUGGUACCCUAGAAGUCACCAAUGAGUGUCAACUGGGCAGAUGAGGGACAGGAAGACAGGGAUAGCCCAGGGCUUUACCCGUUUGAUUUUAGGCCUGUUUCUCCAUUAAGGGAGUGGGCAGGGGAGAGUGAAUGAAUAAAUCACUCUUCCAAGCAACAGCAGGAAGGAACAGCCUCUGCUGGCAAUGACAGUACCCUAGGUUAGAUCUCUGGGGCUCUGACAGGAAAAGGCAAGAUUCCCCCACCCAAAUGCCAUGGGUUAGGGCAGAUAUGAAGGAAUCCUACAAAGGGCAGCUAUAAGGAGUGUGCAGGAGGGAGCAAUAGUUCAAGAACAAAUUCCAAUACUGAUGUAAGAAGACCCCUACUAAGGAGUCAAAGAAGCACUGAGACAGCAGAGGACUGGGGACUGACCUGGGGCUCAGUGGAGCCCAAGAGCCAGGGUUCCUUUAGUGCUAGAGGGCAACAAGUGAAGGGAGAGUUUGCUCCAAACCUGUGGAGGGAAGGAAGGAAAUUGGAUUCUGUUAUUAGGAGGGCCAAAAUAAACUAGCUUAUAGAGCGCCCCAAGGCCUGAGUCUUGGAGGAGGGGCUACAACUCCCAACUCCUGGGUCUCUGAAGGGCAGGAUCAGUGUAGCUGGUCCCAUUAAAGACCAUCUGGCCUUAGUCCAGUCCAUUCAGAGCACUGAUUACCACUACAGGUUCUCUCUCUACCACUAUCUAGAGGUCCUAUGUAGACCAGGGGAGGAUAGAGGCACAUAGGAACUGUGGGGCAAAGGGAAGCUGAGGGGUGGGAAGGGAUGGGGUGGGAAAAGAGGAUAAGAGGUGUCUUGUGAGACAGAAAUGUGAGACCCUCUUCAUUCUGGUGUUGUCCUUGAACCAACAGCAUCCCCUGAAAGGCCCCAAGCAAGACCAAGGCAGGUGCUAUGAGGCAGGCAGCACAGCACAAAUAACUGGAGCAGCCAAAUUAGAGCUGUCAGAGAAGCCCUAUGUAUUCCGGAUUCCCAGGGCUUGCUCUAAUUCUUGUCGUCUCUGCUGCACCUAAGGAGAAAAGAGUGGAAAAUGAGACAGUUGAUCAGAAAUUGGUACCUAAAAUCACUGACCCCAUCGGAGGUACAUACCCCUUGUUUUUUUGUCAAUUUCCCAGUGCAUCUCAAGCACCUACCUUGGAGUAAAAGUAUCGGCACACAGCCUCCUGAGCCCAAGGCUGGAAAUAGAACUCAGCUCGGCGCUCCUCCUCUGGGUUACCCACCACAUCAGUCAUAGUCUGAGAGAAAGGCAGGGGAAAGGAGAGAAGAGACUUGCUUUCUGCCUUUACACCUCCUACUGGUCCAACUGUAUCCCCCGAAAAGAUGCUGAAAUCCUAAUCCCCCAGUACCUGUGAAUGUGACCUCAUUUGGAAAUAGGGUCUCUGCAGAUGAUCAAGUUAAGAUGAGGUCAUUAGGUUGGCCCUAAUCCAAUAUGACUGGUAUCCUUACAAAGGGGAAAUUUGGACAUAGAGACAAAACAGGUACAGAAGGAAGACGAUGUGAAGACACACAGAGAAAACCAGCUAUAACCCCAGGGAUGCCUGAGGCCACCAGAAACUAGGAGAGAGGUCUGAAACACAUUCUCCUUACGGCCCUCAGAAGGAACCAAUCUUCUUAAUCUUGAUCUCAGACUUUCAGCCUCCACAACUGUGAGUUUUCUGUUGUUUAAGCACCCAGUUUGUGUUAGUUUGCUGUUGUAGUCCCAGUGAACUAAUAUAACACCUAGUAGCCUCCUGUUAUCCACAAGUCAUUGCCUUGUCUAGAAACCUGCCUGGUGCUCUUUCCCCUUGCUCCUCUUGCAUCCUUCCUAACUGCAGUCACAGCAGUGGCAGGCUGGGUGAAAACUUAGGUGGAUUUCACACAUUCUAUGUCCGUGCCUAUCUUCUUGCCUUAGUGUUCUCCUCUCUGAGAAAUAUCUUCAAGUCCAAAAUUUUCCAUGAAGCCUUACCCAGUGACUCUAGCCUUAUUUUGAAUUAUUUUACUGGUGAGUUCUGAUAAUGUACUAUAUGGCAUACUAUUUUUAAUCACAUUAGCUUUGUUUUUCCAAAUAAAAUGGAUGUUGCAGAAA